rnacentral:rRNA from 1 species
CUACGGGGGGCAGCAGUGGGGAAUAUUGCACAAUGGAGGAAACUCUGAUGCAGCAGCGCCGCGUGGAGGAUGACACUUUUCGGAGCGUAAACUCCUUUUAUAUAGGAAGAAGAUGACGGUACUAUAUGAAUAAGCGCCGGCUAACUCCGUGCCAGCAGCCGCGGUAAUACGGAGGGCGCAAGCGUUACUCGGAAUCACUGGGCGUAAAGAGCGUGUAGGCGGAUUAAAAAGUCAGAAGUGAAAUCCUAUAGCUUAACUAUAGAACUGCUUCUGAAACUCUUAAUCUAGAAUGUGGGAGAGGUAGAUGGAAUUUCUGGUGUAGGGGUAAAACCCGUAGAGAUCAGAAGGAAUACCGAUUGCGAAGGCGAUCUACUAGAACAUUAUUGACGCUGAGACGCGAAAGCGUGGGGAGCAAACAGGAUUAGAUACCCGGGUAGUC